rnacentral:rRNA from 1 species
GACGAACCGUGCGAACGUUAUUCGGAAUUACUGGGCGUAAAGCGUGCGUAGGUGGUUCGUUAAGUCUGAUGUGAAAGCCCUGGGCUCAACCUGGGAAUGGCAUUGGAAACUGGCGACCUAGAGUGCGGUAGAGGGCAGUGGAAUUCCCGGUGUAGCAGUGAAAUGCGUAGAGAUCGGGAGGAACAUCUGUGGCGAAGGCGACUGCCUGGACCAGCACUGACACUGAGGCACGAAAGCGUGGGGAGCAAACAGG